UUCUUAACCCUAGCCUAGGUCCAUCCGAACUUUUAAAAAAGUAAAGAACAAUAAAACCUCCUCUAAUUUUCCAAAGUCAUUCUUGCCUAAAAGACAUCGAACCCCUAGUUCUCUAUUCCUAAAGUAUUGUCCAAAAGAUCCGGCGAACUAGUCCCAAUAGCUCUAGCGAUGGCGACAUCUCCAGCAAGGGCGCAAGGCCACAUCUCUGGCAAAGCACACGCCUUUCUAAAGCUUCCUCUCGUUGAUGUUGGCCACAAACCCUAACCAAAGUCACUGAAUUCGGCAAAUAGAGAAGACACCGAGUCAAGAAAACACCUUUGCCACUUCUCUAAAGCUUCCUCCUCACGGUCAACAAUGGGAUCUUGUUAGAGCCGGACAAAUGGAGAAAACCCAGUAGGAAUUGCUUCUUAGAUCGUCUGUAAAACCCUCGUCACUAGGACUUAGGGUACCAAGUAUAUACCUGUGAUUCCGUGAGGGAUAGAAUUGACUUCAAUUGACAGCUUUGGUAAUAUUAUCAACAAAGCAAGUCCCUCAGCCAUCCAUCCGUGAAAAGAUGUCCUUUGAUGCACAAGACUUGAUUGACAGUUAAGCAAGGAGAUCAAGGUGAGAGUUGAAUAAUAACACUUGCGUGAUUUUGAAGGUAAUUGUCUUAUAUGGAUCGAUUAUCUAGUAAUUGCACUGAGUGUUUAAUUGUGUGUCUAUAAUAGUUCAAUCAUCCAACAUGAUUUACCUUAUUUGGAAACUUUUUGGAAUUUGAACUUUUGGCAAUUGACAAGUUUGUUUAUGCAGUGCUGAUUUUUGUUUAUUUAUUUUUCGGGUUUUGAUUAUACCAACAUGAUAAGAUAUCUCAAUUAAGAAUGAACUACUAGUAAAGAUAAAAUAAGAUAUCCUUGUGUUAUUUGGUUGAUGAAUAUCAUAUUACUAGAGUUAGUGAAUGUUUCAUCAAGAUUGACGUUUUAAAUUGCUAGAAACUUUAAAGUUAAAAAAAUAUCUUUAAUUAAAGGAGAUUUGCUGUUUGGUGAAAUGACAAUAAGGUAUGACAAUAAGUUUUUUUAUUUUAUUUUCAAUGAGAUUUAUUUUUAUUUCUUGGAGUUUUUGAAGAUGUUUGUUAUAAUAGCUAAAGUGAUGUCUGUUGGUGCAUGUUAGUAGGAACUGUGUUUCUGCUUGCUCGUACUUUUUGUAUUUGACUUUAGUAGAAUAUGAGGUUGUUGCCUUAUGAAGUUUCGUACUUUUGUAUUUGACUGGUUAUUCUAAGUUAUAAAGUUCCGUCCUUUUUCUUAUGAUACUUUUCCUCUAUAGUUAGUAUUGGCACAUGAGACUUAUACUCUGUAAAUUGAACUUAUGGAUACUACUUUGAUGGUAGUCGCUAGUUGUAUGCUUAUCUUCUGGCUUCUGUAUAGUUAGAUUGAUCAAAUUAUACUCUAGGUUAAGAUUUCAUAUAUCGCUUCUUUUUCCAUGUGAGUUCUUUUUUGAUUAAUUGUUAUAUAACCAAAUAUGAUAUAGAUUGUUUUGUUUUUAUUAUGAUUUUGUAAGUGAAGAAAAUGAACAAAGGAUAGACAAAAGGCAGUCAAUACCUUAAGAUUAUUAGUUGAUAGUUGCAAGAUCUUUAGAUGUUCUAAGAAUUUUUUAUUUUAGAAGUUUUUGCAAACUUAUGUAUGGUAACUCUUGAAUUUAUCAAAUAAUAUUCUCUUUUUUGCUUUA